rnacentral:rRNA from 1 species
UUUUGGCUUAUUAUUUGCUUUUAUUUUAUUUUAUAUGUAAAUUUUUGUGUGAAUAAUUUUAUUUCUUGAUGGAUAAUAAUUUUUAUUUAUUUGCAGUAAUUAGGUUUGUAUUUUAAAUUAUUUUAGAAACAGUAAAAUUAUGUAGUACUGGCUAAAUUUGUGCCAGCAGCCGCGGUUAUACAGUGAGUACAAGUAAAUUUUUUUUCAGUUUGAAUUAAGUUGUUAUUGUAUUGAAUAUGUGUAUAUGGUUUUUUUAGGUGAAAUUUUAAAACCUAAUUUUGUUGGGGGUUAUUUGCUGAUUUUUUAAAUUUUAUAUUUAAACUAGGAUUAGAUACCCUAUUAUUUUAUUAUUUAAAUAUUAUUUAUGCUUAGGUAGUAGUAGUUAUGGUCUUGAAACUUAAAAAAUUUGGCGGUACUUUAGUCUAUUUAGAGGAACCUGUUAUGUAAUCGAUAAUCCACGUUGGAUCUUUCUUAGCUUAGUUUUUCAGUUUGUAUACCGCCGUUAUUGAUUAUUUUAUUAGAAUAAUAAUGUUCAGUAUUUUUUAGUUAAAUUUAGUAUCAGGUCAAGGUGCAGUUUAUGGCUAAGAGAUAUAUGGGUUACAAUAAAUUUAUUUAUACGGAUGAUAGAAUUAAAUUUUUAUUUGAAGGUGGAUUUAAUAGUAAAUUUGUUCAGAGAGUCAUUUUGAAUUUAGCUCUAGAGUGUGUACACAUCGCCCGUCACUCUUACUAUUAAGGUAAGAUAAGUCGUAACACAGUAGGUGUACCGGAAGGUGUAUCUAGAAAAU